UUGGCUGCAGACUCUGCACUCUUAACUGCUACAUAAUAGUGCCACUCUGUUGGUCAGGCACUCAGAAAAUUUGUGUCCCAUGUAGCCUUUUUGAAAAAAAAAUGCUUGAGGAUAUACUACAAUAAAAUGAAAAAGGAAGUCAAGAAAGAGGAAAGCGUCAAAUCCUAGAAACAGUGGCACCCACCUGGGGGUCAGGCCAUUUCAGGACAACAGCAUGUCUAUGAAAUUAAAACAGGAAAUCAGAACAUUACAUGAAAAAUGUCAUCAAAAGAGAAAGAUUCUAUUGUUCAAAUUGUAUGAUUAAAAUUCUGUUCUUAAUAGGAAAAUGAUGGUGUGUAUUUCCCCUGGAAACAAGAAAAAAGAAAAGCAAUUGGAAAGUCAAUGAUGAGCCAUUUUUUGGAGUGAAAGAAAAGAGAAUAGUCAGAACAUUCUCAUUCUAAAGGGGUAGAUUUAUUCACAUGAACAUUUCUGUCUUUAUGAGUCCAAUCAUACCAUUUGUUUCUUCAACGUGUAAUAUUUACUUACUCAAUAUUGUAAAUGCAAUUUACUGCUUUUCCAUUUGUAGUUAAUUAUAGGAAAAGCAUGGAAAACUUAAUUACACUUUCUGUAGUCUAGGAAGAAAAUAAUAAAAGCUUUAUAAUAUACAAGUACUGUCACAGUUAAUAGAAGACAAAAGGAAGAAAGAAGAGGAGAGGUGUAUGCAGGGGAAAUCGAAGUGUGCUUAUUUCUUCAUUUUAUAGAGCAAUGGGUUAGCAAAUAAAAAUACAGAAUAUCACAAAUGUAUAAAGGUAAACAUUAAAAUAGGUAAAAACAUACCUGUGAAAGCUAUCAGAAUCAAAAUGGAGUCACUAAUGUUAAGAAAACCUUGACUAAUAGAGCCCGGGAAGGCCACAAAGAGAGGUCUCUCACACUUGUAUGCCUGCCUGAUAACAAAAAAGACGCUACAAAAACCACAACUUCGCACAAAGGCCAUUGCAACCUUAUACACAAAAAAAACCUUAUACACAAAAAAAAACAUCUGUCCAGCAGCUGCCUAUCUAACCUCGGACUGGUGACACCCUUAUUAUUGAUCUUUGUAGCCAAGGAUAAUUAUUUCAAAACAAUUAUGUAAUCUUCCUCACUUUUUCCUUUAAAAACCUUUGUCAGGCCGGGUGCAGUGGCUCACGCCUGUAAUCCCAGCAUUUUGAGAGGCUGAGGCAAGUGGAUCAUGAGGUCAGGAGUUCAAGACCAGCCUGGCCAACAUGGUGAAACCCCGUCUCUACUAAAAAUACAAAAAAUUAGCCGGGCGUGGUGGCGGGCACUUGUAAUCUCAGCUACUCAGGAGACUGAAGCAGAGAAUUGCUUGAACCCUGGAGGCAGAGGUUGCAGUGAGCUGAGAUCGCACCACUGCACUCCAAUCUGGGCGACAGAGCAUCUCAAAAAAAAAAAAAAAAAAAACAAACAAAAAAA
rnacentral:lncRNA from 1 species